CAAACAGUCCUUUUCAGGACUACACACCCUCUGAAAAGAUUACCA
rfam:Strongylocentrotus purpuratus Contig134167_fixed, whole genome shotgun sequence.